UUUCCGUAGGUGAACCUGCGGAAGGAUCAUUAUUGUAUAAUCGAGGUGCGAGGGCUGUCGCUGUCCCGAAAGGUCGUGCACGCCCGAGUGCCCUCACCCACAUCCAUCUUACCCCUAUGUGCACCACCGCGUGGGUCCCCCUUUGGCUUGUUCGGAGGGGGGCUUACGUUUUCACACAAACUUUGUAUGCAGUGUAGAAUGUAUUUUUUGUGUUUGCGAUCACGUAAUCAAUACAACUUUCAACAACGGAUCUCUUGGCUCUC
rnacentral:misc_RNA from 1 species